UUGCGAGACACGAGAGAUGCAACGGGCGGCAUAUUACGAUGACAACCAGAAACACACCGCGCCAGUCCGAGACGCCUCACAUCUAAUUAUCAAUAAUGACGGCAAUUACCUGCAUUCUCGAGGACGUGCUCGAGACAGAAUCCCUCGGCGGGUAGCGUCGUCCCAGUGCCGUUGAGCACCAGCCCGCCGUCUUUCAACAGCGUCGCCUCGUACAGCUUCCCCGCGAUCACCAUGUGCUUAUCAUUGCACUGCGGGAAGCCGAACGUCAAUGAGUAUUCCUGCGGCAGGUUGACGCGAUACGCAUCAUUCUUAAUCGUUACACAGGUCUUUCUUGUGUCGGAGUAAAUACCACCAUCACCGCAGCACUUUUUCACGUGUACACCCGAUUGUAACGAUGCCGGUUGGAUUUCUUCGGGACACACCAUCGCCAUGUCAAAAUCCAUGCAGUAUUUGCCCGGGUGUACCAACCGGGAGUAUUCUACAACGAAGAGAGAUCCGUUGACGAAUGCCAGAUAGGAUCCAGGUACGUAAUGAAAGAUUUUCGGUUUCUGCCCGCCGUCACACAAUGGCUGCUGGCGUUCUUUGAUGUCCCAAUUGCGCGGGACUUCACCAACGGGUAAAUAAUUUUUCGUACGCAUCGAAAAUAUACGUGUACUACUCCAGGGCAUUUUGCGUUCUUGUACGCAGGUGUAGUUUAACUCUUUGGAGGCGUAUUCGUCCAUUGAACAGCAUUUGUUGACGCUGACACUUUUCAAACUUGUUGCGCACCCGCUGAAUGUCACCAGCACAACAAUUACGCAGAACACCACCGAGGAAGACAUUGUUUUUAUUUAUUUUGUUUUAUUGUUUCACAUUACAACGCGCGUAAAAGUUUAAACAAGUUUGCGCGCGUGUUUCUCUACACGCGACACGCGCGACACAGUGGCGACCGUCCGGGCACUGACUGUCUAUAUCAACAGCUAGUCAACGACUGAGCGUCGUUUGAGACGGCAGUCGAAGUCGGUAGUCGCAGAGAGAGAUUCCGGGGCCCCCGUUUUUCGAACUUCGUUCACGUCGACAAUGUGGUGAAGCCUGCCGCGCGACGAGAACGCGCACCAUUGCGAAACUUUGACUGUGAACAUACUUAAGCGCUACUUCUCCGUGUCUUCCUCCCCUCCACCAACACCGCCAGCGCCGCGCCAUUAAAAUACGCGUUUGCAAGCAGACACACCGGCGGAACUCAUCAACUGCAGAAGAACCUUAACUCAACCUUACCUUUACUUUUACCUUUAAUUUACCUCUUACCUUUUCAACGCGUUUGGUCAUCAUCAUGGAGGGACGACGCGCUCGGCGCGGCCAGAAAAGACUUGGUAAGAAGUUGAGUAUCAUUAGAAUAACCCGAUGCCGGAUGAGCGGGACGAGUCGGCUGGUAUGGGUUUUUUUUACCUACAUUCUUCCGUAAUUAUGGUUUUCUAUAAAUUGAUGAGCAAACACGCCGAGGGGACCAAAGGGUGACAAUUCGUGAUGACACUCUGACGGACUAGGUUUUCACCAUGCGAGUGUAAUUUCCUUCCCCUGCUUUGAAGAACGAAGGGAAGCGAGCGUAAAUAGGUUAUCGAGGAAGUGUUUAUUAAUCGAAUAGACCUAAUUUGGAUCUUAUGGAGAGUUGGCAAAUGUUCUGAAAUCGAUUUCCGACUUUAACAAUUGUUAUUUGUGUUAUUUUUGUUAUUUUUGAAGAGUUGUGGUGGAAAAAGGUGAUAGAGGAAGAGUUCUUUAAUCAUGUGAACUGCAUUCAGUCACCCUCAAGGGUCAGGAAGUGCCCUUAAAUCAAUCUCAAACUUCAGCAAUUUUUGUCAUUUUUGAAAAGUUGCGGUGGAAAAUGGUGGUAGAGGAAGAGUUCUUUAAUCAUGUGAACUGCAUUCAGUCGCCCUCAAGGGUCGGGAAGUGCCCUUAAAUCACUCUCAAACUUCAGCAAUUUUUGUCAUUUUUGAAGAGUUGUGGUGGAAAAUGGUCUGUAUCUCGCGUUUCCUUGAUUCGAUUUUAUUUCUGUUCGCUUCAGAUGAGAGAGAAAGAGUUCUUUAAUCGUAUAAACUGCAUUCAGUCACCCUCAAGGAUCGUGAAGUGCCCUUAAAUUACUCUCAAACUUCAGCAAUUUUUGUCAUUUUUGAAAAGUUGUAGUGGAAAUUGGUCUGUAUCUCGGGUUUCCUUGACCAGAUUUUAAUUCUGUUUGCUUCAGGUGAUAGAGAAAGAGUUCUUUAAUCGUAUGAACUGCAUUCAGUCACCCUCAAUAGUCGGGAAGUGCCCUUAAAUCACUCUUGAACUUCAGCAAUUUUUGUCAUUUUUGAAAAGUGGCGGUGGAAAAUGGUGAUAGAGGAAGAGUUUUUUAAUCGUAUGAACUGCAUUUAGACACCCUCAAGGGUCAGGAAGUGCCCUUAAAUCAAUAUCAAACUUCAGCAAUUUUUGUCAUUAUUUGAAAAGUUGUGGUGAAAAAAGGUCUGUAUCUCGCGUUUUCUUGACUCGAUUUUAAUACAUUUGAGUAGUGUAUUUACGGUAGUGCUUUUAAAUUAAUCUCCAUUUUCUGUUAUUUCCAAAAUAUUUGGUCUUUGUGAUUAAAGAUUUCCAGUCCGGCGCCGUUGAAAUUUUGCUGAGUGCGCUAGUAAUAUCAACGCUGGCGCUGCUGUGCAUUCAUAGUUUAGAUCAGUUUAGAUAUAUACGCGCGAUGCUUGUAUGUAAACAAUUUCUUUUGUCGUUUCGCGCAAUACUGAUAGUGACCUCGUGUUGUCGCUGUUGACUGUAUGCAGUUCGCUGCACACGCAGUUUCAUUUCGGCCAUCGGGUGAGACGCGCGUGUUCAUCGCGACUAGUUAUGUUACUUCAGAUCAUAAUUAAGGAAAUUGAUUUAUAUUCGUUAAGUAAUCGACGGCAUAUACCAGAAUCGGGGUGACCGGAGUUUUACAAGCAUGAUUGCAUGCUGCCGUGUUUAUCAAUCGUGGUUUAAUUCUCGGUUCACCUGUAUACGCGUGUCCGUCGGCAAUCAGUUAUCGUUUCGCACAUAAUAACUUGGAUAUAUAAUUAAUUCCAGCAAAUGGACAACUUUGAUGCCCAGACAAGAAGUGUGUGAGUGCACGAAUGGAGUUUGCAAUAUCUAUAUCUGAAGUGUUGGAGAUGCAUGUAUUUUAAGGCAAGUUUUUACUACUCCCGAAUUUGCUAGCUGUCGAUAUUGUUCUAUUAAAUAAAAUGUAUUUAUUGUUUAAUGUUGUCAAUAAAAUUCAAUAUAUAAAGUAAUAUUAUAAA